CCCAAGUUCCAAACCCGUUUCCAUACCUGAACCGCCGGAUUUGAUACAGCUGCUUAUCAUCCAACAUCACAUCCCCUCGGUACAUAAAAAUAUGAUACACCUGCUCAACACUCCAUCCACCUAUCCUCUCUUUUCUAAUCGAACAGAAACUCAAAUCCUAUUCUCUUCUUUUCCAUUUCUCUUCAUUCUCUACAGCACCACUUGCAGCCCUCUUCCAUCAAAUCUAUCUCCCCGACCAUCUCUGCUCACAACUGCCAUCAUGAAAACGUCAAAUAUAUUUCUCUCUCAACCUUAUCAUCUUAUCAAGAACAGUGAACCUAGAAGCUAUGUUUGAGAGAGAUAGAGUUAGGGUUAUCCUAAACAUCAAAUUAAUGAAAUUGCAGAGGGGACAAGAAAUUCAGGCAAUUAUGAUGUACAUCUUCCAAGUAGUCUUGGUGUAUCUUAUGUUCAGCUAAGAAAUUUCUAUCACCAACAAAAUCAUAUGCAGCAUUCCGGAUUUACAGGCGUAAAGAUGUACUGGCUAGCUGGAAACUGAUAAACAAAGUCACUGCAGAGGAUUUUUUCUCAGCAAGACUUUCGAAAACGGGAGCCAUAAACACCAUUAUGGGUUCUAAGGUGACUGCUGCUAAUGCUUAGAAUAUGCAUGGACUUCACACACUUGGGGUGCCUCUUUCUCGCAUUGGAUACACACCUGGUGCAAUAUAUUUGAUUAAACAUAGUGUUGUUCAUCUAUUCCCAUCAAUAAAUUCAAGAGCUUGACAUUUUCAAA